GGUGAGGUGUUAAGACGUAGGGUUGGUAUUGUCACAUCCUCCCACCCCUCACACACACUAAUCCAUAGGGCCAAAAAGAAGGUUAAUCGAGUUCUAAUGAGUGUUCUUUUAGGUUCACGGUACAGAAGAAGGCUCAGACUACCACCAGGGUCAUAAAAGUACCCCUGGAAAUGCCCUAAACUCCCACGAAAGACUAGUAAAUUACGUGUUCUAAUGAGUGUUCUUUUAGGUUCACGGUACAGAAGAAGGCUCAGACUACCACCAGGGUCAUAAAAGUACCCCUGGAAAUGCCCUAAACUCCCACGAAAGACUAGUUAAUUACGUGUUCUAAUGAGUGUUCUUUUAGGUUCACGGUACAGAAGAAGGCUCAGACAACCACCAGGGUCAUAAAAGUACCCCUGGAAAUGCCCUAAACUCCCACGAAAGACUAGUAAAUUACGUGUUCUAAUGAGUGUUCUUUUAGGUUCACGAUACAGAAGAAGGCUCAGACUACCACCAGGGUCAUAAAAGUACCCCUGGAAAUGCCCUAAACUCCCACGAAAGACUAGUAAAUUACGUGUUCUAAUGAGUGUUCUUUUAGGUUCACGGUACAGAAGAAGGCUCAGACUACCACCAGGGUCAUAAAAGUACCCCUGGAAAUGCCCUAAACUCCCACGAAAGACUAGUAAAUUACGUGUUCUAAUGAGUGUUCUUUUAGGUUCACGGUACAGAAGAAGGCUCAGACUACCACCAGGGUCAUAAAAGUACCCCUGGAAAUGCCCUAAACUCCCACGAAAGACUAGUAAAUUACGUGUUCUAAUGAGUGUUCUUUUAGGUUCACGGUACAGAAGAAGGCUCAGACUACCACCAGGGUCAUAAAAGUACCCCUGGAAAUGCCCUAAACUCCCACGAAAGACAAGUAAAUUACGUGUUCUAAUGAGUGUUCUUUUAGGUUCACGGUACAGAAGAAGGCUCAGACUACCACCAGGGUCAUAAAAGUACGCCUGUAAAUGCCCUAAACUCCCACGAAAGACUAGUAAAUUACGUGUUCUAAUGAGUGUUCUUUUAGGUUCACGGUACAGAAGAAGGCUCAGACUACCACCAGGGUCAUAAAAGUACCCCUGGAAAUGCCCUAAACUCCCACGAAAGACUAGUUAAUUACGUGUUCUUGGGCACAGAAAUGUUUAAUAAUAUGGCCCUGGGGAUCGGGAAGCUCUCGUGGGGGACAACAGCUCUCCCUGGACUAAAGGAUCUGUGUAUUAUGUUGAUAUGUGUAAAUCUUUUUAGUUCCCCCCCAACUCUCUCCCUCCCUAAUCAUUUUAUCUAUAGCAAACGAUAAGGGGAGAGAGAGA